rnacentral:rRNA from 1 species
AGGACGAACGCUGGCGGCGUGCCUAAUACAUGCAAGUCGAGCGAGCGCUGCCUAACAGAUUUACUUCGCUUGCGCUCUGUGGAAAGCGAGCGGGCUAUGGGUGAGAAAGGUGAGGAGGAACCUGGCCCACCUGCCGGGAUACCCCUUGUAACCCCGGGCUACUAAUGCAUAAAAAAGAUAAUCACAUAUUAUGCUUUUCAACUGUUUAAAAGACUGUUCUGCUGGGAUGGCCCCAUGGACCUGUAGCGCAUUGGCUAGGUGGAGGGUUACCGGCGUAACGAUGCAAUGACGAGUUGACAAACUGAUAGACCGCUUUGGCACUGAGACACUGACCCACCUCCCACAGUCCGACGGGAGGCGGAAUCUUCCAAUCUGGACCCAUGUCUGAUGGACUGACGCCGCAACACCGAAGAAGG